rnacentral:rRNA from 1 species
UAGUCCACGCCGUAAACGAUGAGAACUAGAUGUCGAGGGGAUUUAGCCCUUCGGUGUCGCAGCUAACGCGUUAAGUUCUCCGCCUGGGAGUACGGUGGCAACACUAAAACUCAAAGGAAUUGACGGGGACCCGCACAAGCGGUGGAGCAUGUGGUUUAAUUCGAUGCAACGCGAAGAACCUUACCUGCCCUUGACAUUGACAGAACCCUUUAGAGAUAGAGGGGUGCUUCGGCCUGGAAAACAGGUGCUGCAUGGCUGUCGUCAGCUCGUGUCGUGAGAUGUUGGGUUAAGUCCCGCAACGAGCGCAACCCUUAUCCUUAGUUACCAUCAUUCAGUUGGGGACUCUAGAGAUACUGCCCCGGUUAACGGGGAGGAAGGUGGGGAUGACGUCAAGUCCUCAUGGCCCUUAUAUCCAGGGCUACACACGUGCUACAAUGGGCUGUACAAAGGGUUGCCAACCUGCGAAGGUGUGCUAAUCCCAAAAAGCAGUUCUCAGUUCGGAUUGGAGUCUGCAACUCGA